rnacentral:rRNA from 1 species
GACGAACGCUGGCGGCGUGCUUAACACAUGCAAGUCGAACGGAAAGGCCCUGCUUUUGUGGGGUGCUCGAGUGGCGAACGGGUGAGUAACACGUGAGUAACCUGCCCUUGACUUUGGGAUAACUUCAGGAAACUGGGGCUAAUACCGGAUAGGAGCUCCUGCUGCAUGGUGGGGGUUGGAAAGUUUCGGCGGUUGGGGAUGGACUCGCGGCUUAUCAGCUUGUUGGUGGGGUAGUGGCUUACCAAGGCUUUGACGAGUAGCCGGCCUGAGAGGGGGACCGGCCACAGUGGGACUGAGAUACGGCCCAGAGUCCUACGGGAGGCAGCAGUGGGGAAUAUUGCACAAUGGGCGGAAGCCUGAUGCAGCAACGCCGCGUGCGGGAUGACGGCCUUCGGGUGGUAAACCGCUUUCGCCUGUGACGAAGCGUGAGUGACGGUAAUGGGUAAAGAAGCACCGGCUAACUACGUG